UCUUCAAGAGACACAACAGCAAAACCCAUCAAUUUCCAAAUUGGCAGGGCCAAUUACCACAACCUCAGCAGCCCACUAAAAGAUACCCAUACAACGUACAACAGUUUCAAAAUAUACCAAAAAGAAGUUGACCUGACCCGACCCAUCCCUCCUCUUCUUCACAAGAAGAAACGCAGAAGCGUACAGCAGCAAUACACGUCUUCACAACAUCAAAACACAGCAACAAUAGUGCAAGUGAACGGCAAAAAAAGUCCCGUACGCGGCUCACCACUUCUCACGCCAGAAACGACAAGUCACGUGGCGGCAAAAUAGACGGAAAGGAGCAGUGACAUAGGCAGUUCACUGCUUUGUGUUGUCAUCUUCUUCCCUUUCUUGGACAAGCAGUACACGCAGUACUGUCCCAGCAGCAAUUUCAUCCUGUUGUAGCCGCGUCUCAUCCCUUGUAGCAACGAAAUGAAGACACGUUAAGCAGAGAGUACGUUCGAUCGAUCCGGAGCGUCCGCCUCAAUUCUAUCCGUUCAAAAUUUGAGUGAAUCCCUUGGAAUAUUCCUUAGUUAUGAAUAGAAUUUGGGUGUGGAACUCCAAAUUUCGUGGGCCUGGAAUUCAAUUUUCAGGAUUUUUCCCUCUUUCGAACCCUAAUUUUAUUCUAUAUAAACUUCCUCUUCCCCACUGAUAAAAAAAGAGUUGAUCGUUCUUCACUAAGGGAGAAAUUUUUUAGUUGGAAAUUCAGAAGAAAGGUGAGAGAAAUUUAACUAAGGAAGAGGGGAUAGUUCAAGAAGUUAGUCAUAAAACACAUAUAGAAAUACAUUCAAGAAAGGGUAAACUAGGCCGUUUCGUUUGGCUGUCCCCUUCGUGAUUUUGUGGUGGAACUCGCUAUUAUUCCCCUGCUCGUUCUUGUCUCCGUCAUUGCUCAGUCCACUUCGGACUAAUCCCUUGCAUUUUGUUCAGUUGUUUGAAUCGGUCGGCAAAUGGAGGCCAUGCACAAAGGUGGAAAGUUAUGUACUUCUUUAGUUCUUUAAUUACAAAUGCUAGGUCAGAUAUAUCAAUCUUCCACAUGUACAUGCCUCGGUUCUGAAUGUGUCAAAAUCUGUUUAAUAAUGUUGCAUUCUCAGUGGACAUGUCCGUUUAGAGCUAUCAAAUAAAUUAUAGUAAUUCAGCCA